AUGAGGAGGGCGAUACCCAGGGCCGAGACCGCCCACCUACGAGAGGGGUGCGCGCCAGCCAGUCCCGCGCACCAGCCUUCGGCCCCUGGCCGGGAACGUGCCCUCGGGCAGGUACCAGGUGCUCACCACGCGCCUCUCCGGUCUCUCCCUGCUCUCCGCCGUCCUCCGCGCGCUCGGGUCGGGGGCCCGCACCGCUCGCCCCCGCAGGGCUGCCUGAUCAGGGUCGGCGCCGGCUCCGCGCCCGCGCCCCGCGCCAGCCACACGCGAACUUUCCGGCGGCGGUGGCGGCGACGCUGGGCGGCGGCGGAGGGGGAGGGAGGGGGCGGGGGCAGGAGCGGCUCGCAGGUGGAGCGGCGGCCGAGGGUCCCCGCCUGCCGCUCCGGGCCCCUGCCCGCGCCUCCGCCCUCCCGCAGCGGCCGCGGGGAGCGACUCGGCCGCCCCGGAGCUCCUGCCCGACAGACCCCUCCCUGCGCGCCGGUGCCGGCACCUGCCUCGCGGACUCCUGUCCUGCAGAACUCUCCCCGAGGACGCCGCCCCGCAGACCUUCUCACUCAGAGCUCACUGGGCAGACCCCCGCCCGGGGAACCCCGGCCGGCCGAUUGCAGCUCCCAGCCGGGAAAGGAGCGGUGGACGGACAGUUUUAUGUCUAGGUAUUCCAGCACAGUUGGUAACACAAGCAUUUCCCCAUCUUCAUAAGAAGUCCUCUCAACACCAUGGUACAUGGGCACUUAGUAUUCCAUUGUGUCGGUCUGUCAGACUUUACUCAACCAUUCACAGGAUAUAGGAAUCAAAAAAGGGAACAGUCCAAAGCUGUUUCAGGUAUGCCCCAUCCCACCCCAGGGAAUGAGCCCCAAACUGCAUCCUCAGAUGUGCUUGAGAGACCGAGAACCAACAGAAGAGAGGACACUGGAGGAAACAAGAGCUAAUGCAGGGACCAGAAGAAAACUUCAGACGAUCUUCCUCAGAUAGGGAAAGACAAAGCACCCAUGCGACUAGGAGAGGGCACUUCAGAAAACAGGAGGAAAACAAAAAAGAGUCCUUGUAAGGUACAAAAUAAUAUCUGAAAACUUAAAAAUUUGGUAGAAGGAUUGAAAGAAGGAGUUGAAGAAAUCUCACAGAAGAAAGAACAAAAAUCAGAGAGACAGAAACUAAGGGAUGGUGGAGGAUCCAUAUGGGAGGUCAGAGGGACAGAGUUUCCAAAGACCAGCGGAGGAGGAAGACCAUUGUGAAAAGUAAUACAAAGUUCUUCCUAGAACUUCCCUAGUGGGAAAGUCUGCCAAGUACUCGGCACAAUAAAAACAGCAAACCAGCUAAUGGAUUAAAAAAUUCAACCAUGUUGCAUCCUCAUGAAAUUUCAAACUCAUCAGAAUAAAGAGAAGAUAUGGAAAGUUUCUAGAGUGUGAACAGAGGUCUCCUGGAGAUGGGCACUGUUCAGCAUGGCAUCAGACCUGUUGCCGGCAGUUGAGGGAGCCACGUUCCCAGUGACAGGAUUUCUCACCUUAUAUCUUCUUACCAGGGCCACCAUCUUCCAAGUUAUGCCACAGGUUGCGAGGGCAGAAUAAGGACAUUUCCAGACACCAGAGGACUCUUAACUUCCCAUGCAGUUCUUCUUAAGAAGCUCCAAGCUUGAGCCACCCAGCAUGGAGUGGGGUGCCAUCCAGUCAAGAAGACACUGGAUUUUGAAAGCUUAGUAUAAAAAUAGAACAUAAAGUGUCAUGAAUCGUGUGUGCUGGUACAUGUUGAAGGAAUCAUCUUCCCGACAAAUUGGGUCAAAUAAAAGGUUUUGUUGUUCAGUCACUAAAUC
ensembl:lncRNA